GACGAACGCUGGCGGCGUGCUUAACACAUGCAAGUCGAGCGACGCUCUUCCUUCGGGGAGAUGACGGAGCGGCGAACGGGUGAGUAACACGUGGGCAACCUGCCCCUAGCUCUGGGACAACACCGGGAAACCGGUGCUAAUACCGGAUACGACAUCGAGCGGCAUCUCUCGAUGUGGAAAGUUUUUUCGGCUAGGGAUGGGCCCGCGGCCUAUCAGCUUGUUGGUGGGGUAAUGGCCCACCAAGGCGACGACGGGUAGCCGGCCUGAGAGGGCGACCGGCCACACUGGGACUGAGACACGGCCCAGACUCCUACGGGAGGCAGCAGUGGGGAAUAUUGCGCAAUGGGCGAAAGCCUGACGCAGCGACGCCGCGUGAGGGAUGACGGCCUUCGGGUUGUAAACCUCUUUCAGCAGGGACGAAUUCAGACGGUACCUGCAGAAGAAGCACCGGCCAGCUACGUG
rnacentral:rRNA from 1 species